rnacentral:lncRNA from 1 species
AUGGCAGAGGUGCAGGUCCUGGUGCUCGAUGGUCAAGGCCAUCUCCUGGGCCGCCUGGCGGCCAUCGUGGCUAAGUAGUUACUGCUGGGCCGGAAGGUGGUAGUCGUACGCUGCGAGGGCAUCAACAUCUCUGGCAAUUUCUACAGAAACAAGUUGAAGAAUCUGGCUUUCCUCGGCAAGCGGAUGAACACCAACCCUUUUCGAAGCGCCUACCACUUCCGGGCCCCCAGCCGCAUCUUCUGGCCGACAGUGCGAGGCAUACAUGCUGCGCCACAAGACCAAGCGAGGCCAUGCCUCCCUGGACUGCCUCAAGGUGUUUGACGGCAUCCCACCGCCCUACGAUAAGAAAAAGCGGAUGGUGGUUCCUGCUGCCCUCAAGGUCGUGCGUCUGAAGCCUACAAGAAAGUUUGCCCUUCUGGGGCGACAGGCUCAAGAGGUUAGGUGGAAGUACCAGGCAGUGACAGCCACCCUGGAGGAGAAGAGGAAGGAGAAAGCCAAGAUCCACUACUGGAAGAAGAAACAGCUCAUGAGGCUACGGAAACAGGCCGAGAAGAACGUGAAGAAAAACUGACAAAUACACAGAGGUCCUCAAGACCCACGGACUCCUGGUCUGA